rnacentral:rRNA from 1 species
AUUGAACGCUGGCGGCAGGCCUAACACAUGCAAGUCGAGCGGAUGAAGGGAGCUUGCUCCUGGAUUCAGCGGCGGACGGGUGAGUAAUGCCUAGGAAUCUGCCUGGUAGUGGGGGAUAACGUCCGGAAACGGGCGCUAAUACCGCAUACGUCCUGAGGGAGAAAGUGGGGGAUCUUCGGACCUCACGCUAUCAGAUGAGCCCAGGUCGGAUUAGCUAGUUGGUGGGGUAAAGGCCUACCAAGGCGACGAUCCGUAACUGGUCUGAGAGGAUGAUCAGUCACACUGGAACUGAGACACGGUCCAGACUCCUACGGGAGGCAGCAGUGGGGAAUAUUGGGCAAUGGGCGAAAGCCUGAUCCAGCCAUGCCGCGUGUGUGAAGAAGGUCUUCGGAUUGUAAAGCACUUUAAGUUGGGAGGAAGGGCAGUAAGUUAAUACCUUGCUGUUUUGACGUUACCAACAGAAUAAGCACCGGCUAACUUCGUG